GCGUUCGUAGCUCAAUUGGAUAGAGCAUCUGACUACGGAUCAGAAGGUUGCAGGUUCGAGUCCUGCCGAGCGCA
rnacentral:tRNA from 1 species